GUGGGAUUCAGAGCGCUGCUGGGGAACACUUUGGAAACUUACACUCUAAAAAGCCGAAAGGCCUAAAAGCAGUGAAUGAAUUCUACCAAAGUGAAGAGAGAAACAGGCCCAUUACCAGUACAAGGUUGAAAUAAGGUCUCUCACACGGAAAAGCCCAGGACUACACGGAUUCACUACCAAGUUCUAUCAGACUCUUAAGGUCUAAUAGCAGCACUCCUUGAUUGGUCAAAAGUCAUCAAACUGAGCAGUUAUACCCAGCAUACUAUGGAAUGCUCAUUCCGUUAAAUAAGAGGAGAACACACAGCAAUCAAGAGCGUUAAAGAAAAAUCCAACGUGGCCAAGCGGGGAUUGGAACCCAGGUCUCUUGUGUAGAAUCUGGGGCUCAAGGGCACUCUGCCUGCUUGCCUCACAGAGUCCCUCUGUCAUCAGCCGCCACACUGACUACCUCUGCCUGCCAGCCCUGGGUCCUUUCCAAGAAAAGACAAAGCUGCAAACAAGCAGUAAUGACAUUGAUUAUUCCAAGCCAGAGGCAGGGGAUUUUGGAUCAUUUCCUUAAAAUGCUUGCUCAGCAACACUGAGGUCCUCACCCCAACCACCCUUAGUCCCAGGAAAUAAAUGUACAGUACGCCAUUGACGUGAAGCAGGGAAAAUUCCCUGUGGAGUUCUGCAGUCUCCUUCUCCUAGUUUGUCAAAUGCCAGCAGCAGCCAAGCCGACUGCCCUGUUUGCCUGUCUGUAUCUUAUUUCUGUAAUGUCUUGCAGAUUGCAGAAGCCCCCCACCCCAAUCCCCAAAGCUAGGCAAACCACAUCGUCUCCAAGCUUCCUAGAGCAGCACUCAGGUUCCCUGCUGUCCUUGGGCUUUGUAUAAUAUUGCCUCUGGGUGUCAUAUACUGUGAUUCUCUGCCAUCAGCCAUAUUUUGCUCUUUUUUUUCCCAAGGAAGAACAUACAAUUCAUUUUUAAUAUCCCUACAAUAUAUGUGACCAAAAUGUAAUUUAAAAGACGGACAAGUGGAAGACUUUCCUGUAUGUCAUGCGAAGCAUGAGAAGCGUUGUGUUCAAAAGCUAGUUUCCAGUUAUUAUAGCCACAGCCUUUCCCGCUUCACCCCUUUGUUACUAAGGAGGUUGAUGUGAAAGGAGAUGUGUCUCUUUCCUUAAAGACCUAUCUCUCUCUCAAGGCUGAGUUCUCCAUACCUGGAUUCACACAUCCCCCCACACCAUGGCAAUUACCCCCCUGGUAACCACUCAUGACAUCGCAGACACAAUGUACUAGCAGAAGAAAUGAGAGCUCCUGAAAUGCAGAGAAGUCAGCUCCCUCUGUGGCCUAAGGACUCUGAAGGAAUAGGAAAUGGAGGGUUUGUUUAUUUAUUUAUUUUUAUUUAGCAGAAAAGUAACUCUUGAAAACUAUCCUUGGAUUUUGACUGCUUAUUGAAUUUCAAAGCUUCUUGUUACCUUAGAUCCUGAAACUGUGUUCUGAGGCCCACAAAAAUUUUUAGAUAAC
rnacentral:lncRNA from 1 species